GCCGAAGUGGCGGAACUGGCAGACGCGCUAGGUUCAGGGUCUAGUGGCCUCCGGGCUGUGGGGGUUCGAAUCCCCCCUUCGGCA
rnacentral:tRNA from 1 species